UACGUAGGGUGCAAGCGUUGUCCGGAAUCAUUGGGCGUAAAGCGCGUGUAGGCGGCCCGGUAAGUCCGCUGUGAAAGUCGGGGGCUCAACCCUCGAAUGCCGGUGGAUACUGUCGGGCUCGAGUCCGGAAGAGGAGUGUGGAAUUCCUGGUGUAGCGGUGAAAUGCGCAGAGAUCGUAAGGAAGACCAGUGGCGAAGGCGGGUCUCUGGACAGUUCCUGACACUGAGGCACGAAGGCCAGGGGAGCAAACGGG
rnacentral:rRNA from 1 species